GCGGCACCCCGCCUCCCGGUUUCCCCCAUCGCCCUCGCUUCGCUCGGGCGCCCUUGCCCCUGUUUGCAACUGCAAUCGCGGCGGAUCUGCCGUUCUCCCACCCGCGCCCUGGAUCCGUUCGGGUCCGAUGCGCGCGCCGUUGGUUAGCUGCUGGUUUUUCUCGGCGCGCCGUUGGUUAAUCUGUUGGCUUGGCUCCUUGAUCUCCUGCUGUUUCGCUGUUUCUGACGCCUUCGUCAUCCAUCUCGUAGCCAUAGCCCGUGGAUUGGAUGGAGGUUGCGAUACUCCCUCCCCCCUCCGAGGAUCGGAGCAGUGACGCCUUAUUUGAUUCAUCAUUCAUUCAAUUAUCAAUUUAGAUGGAGCUCGUAUGGUGCUUUGGCUCCUUCAGAGAUUUGGUGUUUAGAUUAGGGGGAGUCUGAGCAUUUGAUUUGAUACACUGCAAAAACUUGUGGGAUUAGCCGAUUAGGCUAGGGGUGUGUCUUCGUUCUGGCAGGCAUCAUAAAUGAUCAAUAUGGGGACAUCUGAUAGAUUCCUUGGAGUGCUAAAUGCUGCACCGGGGUUUGUACCAAAUCAUUUAAGAGCUUGGCAGGCGUAGCAGCGGGUAUCUAUUCUUCACCAUUCAGGUAAAUCACAUUUAUCUACUAAGAUGUCGCAGUGUCGCACACUUCUUCAACUUCAAGCACAAUAACAUUUCUUCUGAUAGUUUACAUGUAAGGAACCUCCAAUAGAUUGGAAUAGGACUAUCAAUGCUCAUUCAGACAUUUUAUUUUGGCACUUUGUAGUUUCCAGUAGCCUCCCUCUCUCUGAAAGUAUUUCCUCAUGCUUAACAAUAUAAUCUUGAAACAUGAUUUUUUAUCUUCCUUUGCGCCAAAAUCCCUUAUAUGGUUAUAUGUCACUGAAUGUCAUCAAAUUUUGUAUAAGCUUGAAGUUUGUUGCGAUUUCUCACAGUUUGGGAGUGAAUAGAUGCCUGACAGGCAAUAAUAGUGAAUCGUGCCCAGUUUAGGUCAAUUUAUGGUUACUCUCACCUACAAAUAUGCUUUCUAACUCUACACUAUUAUAGUUAACUUUGUUACUCCUGUGGCCCCAACCUCUCAGUUUGCUUUUUUUUUGUGAGAAGUACUGCACUGAAAUUGCUGGAGCCAAAGCACUGGAAUGAUUCAGUGAGAAUGGAAUGCUUUAAUUGAAAUUCUCGAAAUGCAUCAUUUUGUUGAUUUUUUCAAAUGCUUAGGAUAGAUUAGGAAAAUCGUAUAUGCUACGCAGAAAGUGAUCGAUUGUCCUGGAAAUUCAUUUUCAGUUGACAUUAAAGUUUCAUAGCAUUCAAGAUACUAACAAUAUGAUUGACAAAAGCAUGCCCAGAAAGAAAUAGAAAAAUAAAUAAAUUGUUCUACAUCAGGAUAAACUUAUGAAUGCAAGAGUACUAAAUCUUAUUUCAGGGAUUGGAUUUAUCCUAAGACAGCGAGUAAUUUGAGUUGGCUUCACAUCUGUGCUUGCUAUCACUUCCUGACCAUGAUAUGAGUUUUAUGAUCUUUCUGACCUCCUUCGUACACAUAUGUGUCUUGUUUGCUUAACCUCUGAAACUUCAUUGCCUAUUGAAAUUUUGCUGUUCUUUUUCAUCGAAGAACUGUAGAAAGGUAUAUCAUUGUAUGUAGGCAUUAGCACUCCUGUACGAGUAUAGUUUUUUUAUGUGUUCUUCUGUCACAACUUGGUCUGGCUUUACUCUCUCUCUAAAAAAAAAUUGCUGUUGCUUACCCCAACUUGCUAGGACUAAAAUGAUCUUUUAGUUAUUGUUCUCAUGUAAGAUCUGUAAAUGUUCCAUAAAGUAAUAAAUCUUACAUAAAUGUGACAGGCAUAGCUUCAUGUUGCUAUUGGAACGAGACAGCUUCAUGGUUUUUAUGUGUUUAACUGAGGUUGUGUGGAAUGGAUUAGCCAACGGUAGAUGGUUUUGAUGGCUCAUGUUCUAAUUGUGGCUAAUUCAAUGGAUGUGAUAAAAUGGAAAUGUGAUAGACCUAUGAAGUUUUAGUUACUUGUUUAAGUAUGUUUCCUUAAUACAAAUAAAAUGUAAUCCUAGAAAUCACACCUACUGUGGAUGUUAGGACAAGUUUUGCUACAGAUUUUGGCACGCAAAGAAAUACACUCCCUUCGAUCCAAUUUAAUUAUUUCUUUAGCUCUGUAUACACAUAAUGCAGUAACUUUUGGCAUGAUUGGACCUUAAUAGCUGCAUUUUUAUUUUUGUAAUACCUCUACCAACAAGAAAUCAAUAUUGGCAUUUAGUGACAACGUUAUCUUGAGGAACCAAAACUAAGCUGCCAAAAUAACAUCUAUUUUCGAAUGGGGAUAGUAGUAAUUACUUAGAUGAAGGUUUUUCUAAAACCUUCAUUAAAUUGGUGAACAUAUUGUUCCUCUUAAUACUUGCUAUGCAUACCAUCAGUCCUAUUUUCUUAUACACUGAACUUAAGCAGUCAUAACAGCUGUAGAGUUCCUCCUAGACUGGUCUUUAGUGUUGAUAACCGACUUAUCUUCCAAUGUAGUUCGACACCAUUAGCAUAAAACACAGUUUAGAAUGCCACAAAUUUGGUGAUAACCAUGGAUGAUGAGUGUCUGAUAUUGGUUAUGUAGAUGGAGGGAACGAACUUUCUUUGAGUACACUGUAUGUUAGAAGUAGAACGGACUCGCAUUUCCUUUCCUGCUUCCCAGAGUUCACAAAUAAAUGGAGUGUAGAAACUAUUUAGCUGGAAAGUUAACCAGCUUUGGUCUUGCAAAUAUUUAAUUACUGUUUGAUCACUGUUAAGGCAUUACUGUUGAUGUUCAUAAUUCAGAUGGAAAGGAAGAUAUGAGAAACACUUUUAAAUGUUAUGAAAGUAAAAAGCUUGUUACAAAAAUGUUCUUUGGGUGUUAAGAACAACUCUUUCUGCCAUUAAACAUGAUUACAAGAAGACAAGAAGUUGACAUCUCAGCAUAAUCCAGAUAAGAAGUUUGAAAACAAACAGAAAGUGGUUCCAUCAAAUUGCUGUUGGUUAUGAGGUAAUCAAGAGCAUGGAACAUAAACAUUUUCUUCGAUUUACAGUUCUGUGGAUUCUUUCUUUGCAUUUGUAGCACUUAUAAGCGCUAUAGUACCCCUUCAUCAGGAUCUUGAGGUUAACCGAUUGUACCCAUUACCUAACAUUUUGUAAGCAGAUAGUCCCCACACAAAAGGUCAACAGAAGUAAGGGACCAUCUGGUCCAUUCCCUAAAGGAAGAAGUCCAUUUUUGGCCAUCCAAUUAUUGCCUCAGUUUGGUUUUGACCAUCGAACUGCAAAACUAGGAAUCUUUGGCUACCCAACUCUUAAAACCGUUCAUAUUUGGUCAUCGACCGGUUUUGGUGGUGGUUUUGCUAACAUGGACGCCACAAGGCGGUGGGGCCCACCUAUCAGUGCUCCUCUCUCUCCUCUCCUAUCCCUCUCCUCUCACCCUGCGCUGGCCGCCACCCUCCCCCGCGCAUCUCCAGCUCACCCGGCCGCACUGGCCCACGGCGGAGCUGCAUCUCGCUUUCCCGGCGGCGCUGGCCCGCGGCGGAGCUCGAGCUCACCCGGCCUUCUUCGCGUACCCACCGGGGCUCAAGGCCCACACAGCGUGCGCCGCCCCAGGAGGAGGAGGACAACACAGGUGCCUCCUCGAUGCCCAUGGAGACAGCGCCGCGGGCUUGCUCUGCUUCCUGGCGUCCCUCACCAGCGGCGAGAGGUGCUGCAGGAGAGAGGUGCUCCCGAUGCGGUGAGAUCUCGCUGCCGGUGCCCGUGGCCAGGUGUGAUUCGGCCCGAUUCGCCAAGGAUGCUGGAUCUCGAUGCUUCCUUGGCGGGGGAACUCGUGGGUAGUUCGACGAGUGGGAGAGUGUCUAGGAGGAGCUGGAGCGUUGGGAGCUGACGGAGGCGGGGCAGUUGAGAGCUGCCGACGGCGACGACACGGAGGAGGGCGUGGAGGCGAAGCAGCAGGAGCGAGAGAGAGAGAGAGAGAGAGAGAGAGAGAGAGGAGGGCUGACAGGUGGGCCCAUCGCCACAUGGCAUCCACAUCACCAAAACCAUCCAGCAAAAUCGCCCGAUGGCCAAAUGUGAACGGUUUUUAUAGUUGGAUGGUCAAACAUUUCUGGUUUUAGAGCUGGAUGGCCAAAACCAAACUUAGGCGAUAGUUCGAUGGUCAAAAGUAGACUGUUUCAAGUAACUUUAAAAACUGUGAUGGGUUUCAAGAUAGUUUCUGAAUUGAUAAUAAGUUUAUUUUCAUCAUUUCGAGAAAACACAUACUUUUCAUUCUAUAGGAGGCAUUCAUUGUCCUUUUCCCUUUUCCUUCUUGCCAUGCUAGCUACCACCUGUUAUUUUCAGCAGAGUGAUGGAUGGACAAUGAAAUGUAAGUUAGGACCACUGAUGCCUAGAGUAAGGUUUACUUUGUCCAUUCUAAUUAUGAACUGUCACUCAGUUGCAAUUCUGAGGAUAGAUCACCAAUUAAUUAUCUUCCAGAUUUGGAACUAUAGGAGCCAAGCAACAGUCUAAUUAGCCAUUUUGAUGUAUCAUUAUCCAUUUAUUUAUUUUGUACAGUGAAAUCCUAUGCUAUUGAGUAUUUACAUCGUGGAUCUAAUUCAUGCGAAACUCAGUGAUUGCAAUGAAUAUUUGGUGAACCACAUUGUUUCCGACUCGCCUCUUGAUUUUCCAGAAGAAUGGUUGAAGUGACAGCUGCAUUGUCAUUUCAGAAACCAAAAGCAGCUCCUGCCAAAGUAUGCAAGGCAUCCUAGGUGGAAGGUGCGCAGAGUCGUGCUGUCAAGUUCUUUGUGUCUGGAGUCUGGACGGGACUAGUGAGCUAUUGGGAGGACUUGUGCAGGCCCAUAUGAUCAUAUUCCAUAAUCCAUACAGUGAACCAUAGCUUGACUCACAAUAUAGCACGAUUGUAUCUUUCCUCCCGUCUUCAUCAGCCCACCCUCUUCCUAUGCAAUAGCUAGUUUCUGCAUGGUAAUGGAGAAGAUGAUGGUGGCAUUGGGGUGGGAACCGAAGUAGCUAUGGAGAUCACUGCAAUUGCAAACAGCAGCUUAAUGCUUGCUUGAUACAACCAUUCGGCAUUGUGAUCGCCGCAUCCCUUCUGUCCUCAUUGGCAUCUUCUUUGCUGAAACGCAUGGGAGAAAAGUUUCCAAUGUGCAGGCGAACUUGAACGAGAUGCGCACAGGGGGGGAGUUCAGGUUCCAAUCCGAUGGCCAAGGUUUUCUUUUACUGGAGGUUUUCUGUUCAACUUCUGAGUUGUGACAGACCCCUAGACUAUUCUUGUGGCGUCCGUCUUGAGCACUGAAGAGGUUGAUUUCUCCAGAAUUGCUGGGCCUAAAAUUAGGUGUCGAUAAGCGUAUCCGGAUCCGCAUGGGCGCACAUGAUCUAAAAGCUACGGACUGCAUACUGCUUCCAAUAUAUUGUGAUAGAUCUAGGACCACAUGUCAACCAUCCUGAAAUUGUAGUUCUUUUCUUUUUCGGGGCAUAAAUUUCCUCUUGCGAAAUCGGAAUAAUCUCGGGUUACCUGUAUGGCUGCAUUAUCGUCUUUCUUUAUUUCAAAACUAGCCCGUAUUAGCACUUUA